AAGGAACUAGUAAAAAAAAAUUAUAUUAACUUGUCAAGUUAAAGUUACUCUAGUGUUUCUUA
rnacentral:tRNA from 3 species